rnacentral:rRNA from 1 species
GUCCUAGCCGUAAACGAUGGGCACUUUGUUCCGGAAGGUCUGAUCCUUUCGGAGCCGGAGCAAACGCGUUAAGUGCCCCGCCUGGGGAGUAUGGUCGCAAGGCUAAAACUCAAAGGAAUUGACGGGGGCUCACACAAGCGGUGGAGCAUGUUGUUCAAUUCGAAGCAACGCGAAGAACCUUACCUGGGCUUGACAUGCUAGUGGUAGGAACCUGAAAGGGCGACGACCUUCGCAAGAAGGAGCUAGCACAGGUGCUGCAUGGCUGUCGU